rnacentral:misc_RNA from 1 species
GAUGAAGAACGUAGUGAAAUGCGAUAAGUAAUGUGAAUUGCAGAAUUCAGUGAAUCAUCGAAUCUUUGAACGCACAUUGCGCCCUCUGGUAUUCCGGGGGGCAUGCCUGUUCGAGCGUCAUUAUAACCACUCAAGCUCUCGCUUGGUAUUGGGGUUCGCGGUUCCGCGGCCCCUAAAAUCAGUGGCAGUGCCUGUCGGCUCUACGCGUAGUAAUACUCCUCGCGAUUGAGUCCGGUAGGUCUACUUGCCAGCAACCCCCAAUUUUUACAGGUUGACCUCGGAUCAGGUAGGGAUACCCGCUGAACUUAAGCAUAUCAAUAAGCGGAGGA